rnacentral:rRNA from 1 species
CUCUGUCCCUCGUAGCGUUCAUCGAUAGCGGGUGACUAACGUGAGCGACGUAAAGGAGGGCAGAAGGACAGGGCAGCGGGGGGGAAGCGGUCGAUGGGGGUGACGGUGCCUCACUCGUACUCAACUUAGCAGCGUUAUAGGUAGGUACCGAGGCGGGGCGGCUACUCAGUCAGAGCGUCCGGCUAAAUCAGGCGAGGGCAGUUGGUGCCUCGUCUAGCGACGACGGAAGGGCUGAGGUGACGUCUAGAGUGCGAAACGCGAGCGCGCUCGAAGGUAGUCUGAACCAGUGUGACCAGCAAACAAGUCGCGCAUGCGACGACAGGGUGAGAUAUCCGGUGGAUGAAGUUCAGAAGUCUUCUAGUUUACCGGCUCCGCCAUGAGUAACAACACUGCUUCUAACCACUGUAAAAUGAUCUUCUUCGGUGGUUUCCGUAGUAUCGAUUCGAAAGACUUUUUCAAUGAUUAGACUUCCUUGACGGCCAUUUCCAACUCCUUUAUUUCUUCGUUGACUGGUACUACCGGUGACAAUAUUCCGUCUAUCCGUGCCAUAUGGAGUGUCUGCUGCAACAGUUCUCAACCUAACCCCUACAGGCGUCCCACCGGAUAGUACAACUUCUACAUUACCUAUUUAUGAGUAUGUUGGAAGAAGUUGAAGUCCUUCUUCCCAAGGACUUCUCUAAGAAGUAGUUUCCUUGUGUAAUACAGUCUCAAAAGUCACUUUAAUGCCUACUCUAUCAACUUCAUCUCUUCCUCUAAGUUGAUCAAUAUUUCUACUUUCUCGUCACCAACGUCGGGAGGGUCGAACAUCGAUUGGGUGAAUGACUCUAUCUUUCCGUCGCCAGAGUUCUGUCGAAGGGUCUUAAACAGUUUCUACCUCUAGAUCAUCCUUAACUUUUGUUGUCCUAUACCGACUGGUCGAACAACAUGAGGCUUCUCGGUCUCGGUCUCUUAUGGCAGUAUUGUCAUAGACCGUACCCACCCAACCCCUUUAGAUGGGAACAAAGUUUACAAAUACUUGCACUUUUCUAGUUGAAGGGACGUGUACGUACCUAGCAACACAGUGUUCAAAUGUGACAACUACGGGACAACUCCUUCGAUGAUACCUUCUAACCUAUAUGGCUUGUUGGUAACAGUCGUCCAUAACUGUUUUACCUACACGUACUGAACUUCUUCCUUUAUGUCGUCUCUGAAGUUUUGUCUUUCAUAAACUAACAUGACCUACUACAGACCCUCGUUCUACACAUGAAAGUCUAUGUACUACGAGAGGUCCUAGAGGGCCUUUCAGCCUAGUAGUAAUGCUGUGCCUUCCUGGUACAGCGGCCUUAAAGAAGAGGGUUGGCAGUAGAACUCGAGCUCGGUAACUCGUUCAGACUACGUAAACUGGAGAAGACAUCUUCUCGAAAAAUGUUGGCCUUCCCGGUGUACACAGGGUUCCUAGAACUCUACUAACGAUGAAGAUAUCAACUAUCCACAGUACCAGAUGGAGAUCGUUAACAAUGGUAACCACCGUACAACAGAAGUUCUGUUGCUAAUCUGUAAACCUUAGUUUUUAUGUUAGUCGAAGCUUCGCUCAACAGUUUGUUACUAGUACAGGCUCGUUAAAAUUUGGACUCGAUGGUACUGGAAGGUCUGCUGGAGUUUUUGACAAAAAAUAUGACGUCAGAUAAGGGACUUCUGAUAGUGUACAGUGCACUUUCGGAACACGCCGACACCCAACGGCUUCCGAAACACCAUUCUUUUCUUUUCUUGUGUGGUCUCUACCAUCGACUCCCUUUAGAGUACCUUAACUAGGUGGCGUUAUACGAACUCCAACAUCUCUUACUACUCGAACCAUCUCAAUCGUGGACAUUCUACGUACUAUAACACGCACUUGAUCGAUACAGACAACGAUUUCUUCUCUCUAAACGAAGUCGUCUACUAAUGCGGUGUUACUAUAACCAUGUCGUCCUAUUCCUACAAGCAGCAGACAGUAAUACACCUACCUUUCUGCCGUGACGUCACUUUCAAUUUGAAGGUGUAGAAGCUUGUCAUGACAGUGAACCUGGUUGAAGUGGGACGGCACCGUACAAUAGAAGAUAAAACAGUCUUAGGUUGAUGGAACGACAAGAACUCGACGUUCUGAGACUUUAGUGACUUCACGGUUGUAGUUAUCCCAGAUACAAGUUAGAUGCAAUGUAGCCCAAUGCCGCGUGGUUCCAGUCUAGUGAAGGUCUGAGGUAGCUUUUAAACAGAUUGGAGGUGUGAGACCUGUAGUUCGUUUGGGUUUAUCUCUUCGAUGGUGCUCCCCAACAGUUCUAGUUCUUCGACGCCGUGGAAAACCGCCUGUCUAUACGACUACUCUUCGUCCGUCUCAAGGCCAUGAAAUAACCUCACGUUCGUGGAUUUCUCGAUAGGUUGAACCUUCUUGACGUUUGAGAACUCUGACACCUCAGGUUGGGACUGAACCGUCUCGUCGACUUCUUUGACUACGUUGAUUCUUCACACACCUAACUAUUGUAAUCACGACUGCUGACACGUUUAGACAAACGAUGGGACAGUUGAUACGGUGAGGAAAGCUCGAACGAAGAAAGACGUUCCCUACGCUUCCUCCGCGAAACGAAACUCCGAGAGUUUGGUUUAAGAUGUAUAGAUGUGUCCAACUAAUGGUCUCCUGUUACCCGGUUCCCUUGUGAUUUAACGGGCUAGAAAGAGUUUGUACCCUAUUUGGAGUUCAUAGAUCGAUAUUCGACCACAGUGGAACCCCUUCUAGGUGACCCCUACUACCGUGGUGUGUACGGCUUGGAGUGUAUAGAAUCUGAUUUGUUGUACGUGUCACGUUUUUGAAACCAAAACAGAUUUCUGAGGAAAGGGUUGGACUUCUACGAACAGAAUUUCGUGUACGUACUACAGUCACUCGAUUUUUAGCAACUACCGCGAGAAGGGACGUAACUACCAAACAUGUAACACAGCGACAACUUCGAGUUAUUUCAGGGGGUUCCGUAACUUAGGGAAGCGAGGGAAUUCUUCGAGACCGACGACUCGAACGUGUUCCUGAAGUCUUGAGUUACCCUGUGACUUCCCUACGUAGACUUCUACCAUGUACAAGGUCUCCAAGCACACAUCUACGCCGAGUGGCCAAGAAAGACGUCACGGUAAGAACCUACCACGUAGGUUAGGUUGACGUAGCACGAAAAUUAGUAAGGUUAUUUAAACGCUAAUAGCUGUAGUGGUCGUCGUAAACCAGCCAUGAAGAUAUAACAUUGUGUAAAUAUAAGGAGUUCCUAACCAAGCACACGUAACGGAAGGUCUCCGGAGACAUGGCAUACACAAAAAAAACAACUGGUACCUGACAUGACAAAGACAACAAAUUCGAUGUGUGAGAAUCAUCAUUAAAGGACAUUUCCAUACAUAAUAAACAUAGCUUGUAGAACACACUAAUUAGUACAGUUUGUAAAGUAAAACAUUGUAACCAUAGAAAACUAGAUACGCGAUACAGUGGGGUAAUAAUAAAAUGGUACUUAUUCUUUUAUAUUUUAUUGUUGAAAUAAUAACGGAGAUCUCGUAUAAAAGAAGUUAUGAUAUAGUAGUUGUUUACAAUUCGCACGCCUGGGAUACUCAAGCUCUUACUACAUCUGUACUAGCUUUACGGAGAGGCC